GUAGGGGGCAAGCGUUAUCCGGAUUUACUGGGUGUAAAGGGAGCGUAGACGGCACGGCAAGCCAGAUGUGAAAGCCCGGGGCUCAACCCCGGGACUGCAUUUGGAACUGCUGAGCUAGAGUGUCGGAGAGGCAAGUGGAAUUCCUAGUGUAGCGGUGAAAUGCGUANAUAUUAGGAGGAACACCAGUGGCGAAGGCGGCUUUCUGGACUGACACUGACGCUGAGGCUCGAAAGCGUGGGGAGCAAACAGGAUUAGAUACCCUGGUAGUCCACGCUGUAAACGAUGAAUACUAGGUGUAGGGGGUAUCAACUCCCUCUGUGCCGCAGCAAACGCAAUAAGUAUUCCGCCUGGGGAGU
rnacentral:rRNA from 1 species